AAGAAGAAGAAGGAGAAGAAGAAGACUUGAAGAAGAAGAAGAUUAUGUCAUGAAUGAACUAGCUAAGAUCUUCUUCUUCUUCUUCUAGUCUUCUUCUUCUCCUUCUUCUUCUU
rnacentral:pre_miRNA from 1 species